GCUUCGGUGGUGGAUUAGUGGCGAACGGGUGAGUAACACGUGGGCAAUCUGCCCUUCACUCUGGGACAAGCCCUGGAAACGGGGUCUAAUACCGGAUAACACUCUGUCCCGCAUGGGACGGGGUUGAAAGCUCCGGCGGUGAAGGAUGACCCCGCGGCCUAUCAUCUUGUUGGUGGGGUAAUGGCCUACCAGGGCGACGACGGGUACCCGGCCUGAGAGGGCGACCGGCCACUCUGGGACUGAGACACGGCCCACACUCCUACGGGAGGCAGCAGUGGGGAAUAUUGCCGGUACAAUGGGCGAAUGCCUGAUGCCGCGAGGCGGAGCGAGGGAUCUCAAAAAGCCG
rnacentral:rRNA from 1 species